rnacentral:lncRNA from 1 species
AAAAAAGAAAGAAAGGACCUCGGUCCUUGUCCACAGCUUCCACUGUUCCUGUCCCAGGCCGAUCAUGAAGAGGGUCACGGCAACACCCAUGUCCUGUUCCAAGCCUCGCUGUGUAAGUAGGAAACCACACUCACAACACAGAUAGGCCAUUAAUUUCAAAGAUGUGAAACCUUCCCCUGGAAAAAUCAUUUCUGCAGACUUCAGAUUUUAUAAUUUGUCGGUUUUUCUUUCUCAGGUCCGAUUGGAGCAGUACAGCCUCGUCCAGAACCAGGAUAAGUCCACUCCUAGGCUGUUACUGAGGAAGGUCCCACCGAUGGACGGCCCUCCAAGUUUCUCCUCCCCCAAGCUCAUCCAGGUAAGUAACUCUCACUCCUCUUCUGUCUCUCCCUCUUUCUCUCCCUCUCCUCCUGUCUCUCAAAGAAAAAAAGAAAAAAGAAAGAAAAAAAAGAGAGAAAAAAAAAGAAAGAAAGAAAAAAAGGAAAAAAAGACAAAAAGAAAGAAAGAAAAAAGAAAAGAAAGAAAGAAAAAAAAAAUUAAAAAAGAAAGAAAGAAAAAAUGAAAAAAGAAAAAAGAAAGAGAAAAAAAGAAAGAAAAAUGAAAAAGAAAGAAAGAAAAAAAAGAAAGAAAAAGAAAGAAAGAAAGAAAAACGAAAAAAGAAAGAAAGAAAAAGAAAAAAGAAAAGAAAGAAAGAAAAAAGAAAAAAAGAAAAGAAAAAAGAAAAGAAAGAAAAAAAGAAAAAAGAAAGAAAAAAGAAAAGAAAGAAAGAAAAAAGAGAAAAAAGAAAGAAAGAAAGAAAAAAAAAGAAAGAAAGGACCUCGGUCCUUGUCCACAGCUUCCACUGUUCCUGUCCCAGGCCGAUGAUGAAGAGGGUCACGGCAACACCCAUGUCCUGUUCCAAGCCUCGCUGUGUAAGUAGGAAACCACACUGACAACACAGAUAGGCCAUUAAUUUCAAAGAUGUGAAACCUUCCCCUAAAAAAUCAUUUCUGCAAACUUCAGAUUUUAUAAUUUGUCGGUUUUUCUUUCUCAGGUCCGAUUGGAGCAGUACAGCCUCGUCCAGAACCAGGAUAAGUCCACUCCUAGGCUGUUACUGAGGAAGGUCCCACCGAUGGGCGGCCCUCCAAGUUUCUCCUCCCCCAAGCUCAUCCAGGUAAGUAACUCUCACUCCUCUUCUGUCUCUCCCUCUUUCUCUCCCUCUCCUCCUGUCUCUCAAAGAAAAAAAGAAAAAAGAAAGAAAAAAAAGAGAGAAAAAAGAAAGAAAGAAA